UCCGACACACUUAAAUGCAUGGGGGGAUCUUGCAGCACGAAAAUCUCUCUGUUAGAUAUUGUUGGAUGAGCAAAGGUGUUUUUAACGUCUUCCUCAUUUCCCUUUUGAAAAAUGCCAGCCCCAGCCAGCUUCCAAAAUUUCAUGUUCGUUGAGGCCCCAUCGCUGACAACCGCCAAAAUCCGUACACCACGAGCCUCUAAACGAAUGAUUGCCGCUAUGACCAAUCUAUACAGAUCUUUCCCAGACGCAGCGCCAGCUGAAGCAAACACUCCAAAAGGCUGGACCCAUUUGUCUAGCAAUGGCCUAAAGCCGCGUUCACACCAGAGGUUUUCGGCUAGCCGAAAGAUAAGAGAUGAAAAAAACGAGCUGAAAAACGAGCUGAAACGAAAAAAAAUUUCAUCUUUCCAAAGACGAAACUUUCUAAACUUUUCGGCACCGAAAAGUUUCAGCUAGCCGAAAAACGAAAGCUGAAAACUGAACAGCCAAUCACAGCUUUCCAUUUGAUGCGCAAUUAAUUUUUGAUAUUAGGUCAACAUCAUCAAUGCCAAAUCUGUCUGCUGUCAUUCUUUCAAGAAGUCGUGUGUUCCUCGUGAUUUGUUUCGUGUUGUUGUUCAUAGUUUCUGGAAAAAAAUGCCCAAGUUAGUCGCAACAACGAAGUCAUCGAGGAAAUCUCCUAAUUAGCUGGGAGUGAGCGAUACAAGCAAAAAAAUUACCAACGCGAAUCAAAAACGAGUUAUUAAAAUAUGGUCAAUUGCAACGACUGAGAGAUUCAUCCAGUCUGUUGAAAAGCAGCCGGUUCUGUAUGACGUGACGAUGUCUAAUUAUAAAAACAAUGUAUCCCAAGCUACAGCUAGAGCUGUCAUCGGAAGGGAAUUUUCCAUUAGUCCUGACGAAGUAAAAAAGAAAUGGAAGCAAUUGAAGGACACCUACAGGAUUGAAAAGAAGAGGCUGAGUGAAGAAGAUCCAAGUGGCAGUGGUUUGGAUGGAUCCAAACGUGCGAAGAAGCGUUGGACUUAUUUCGAAAAAAAUGGGAUUCCUUUCCAAAGUGUAAGAUGUUGCCGAGAGGGUCACAAAUGUGGACGAUGAGGAUGAGGAAGGAAAACGAAAUGAAUCUUUGGAUGAGGAACAAAGUAAUACACCUAUCAAAAAUUGGAGAAUGACAGAAAUUUUGGAAAGGGAGGACUUUUAUUAUUCUUCUGAUUCAGAUCAUCACGACGAAGAAAAUGCGAUGUCCUCGUUGAAUGAUUUAGAAAGUGCUUCUGAUUUUUCUGAUCAUUCGUUUAUUAAGGAAAUGGAUCUAAUCGCGAGUGGUAGUUGUAAUAAGGAGACCAUCGAGGGACUGAAGGAACCUGGUUUUAAGACUCCGAUUUCUUCUGCUCCAAGUCCAACUGCGCCUAGAAAGACUAAAGGCAAGAAGGCUAGUCUGGAAAGCGAGGCUGCCAAAGAAAUCGGACAGUUAAUGAAAACAAUCGGUCAAGUUUUAGAGAGCAAACCCGAAAUUAAGAAACCCAAUCCUCUCGAGCGAAUCCUCAACGACAUUGAAGAGGUCGUACGAGGUGAAGAGGCCCUACGAUCAGCUAUGGCAAAAACUUGGGAUUGCGUGUGGCUGCGAUUGAUGACGAAGAGACACGCGAUAACAUCCGCCAUGAAAUAGAGCAGGCAAUUUACCACAACAAGCAGGAACUCAAGAAGAAAAAAACGCUGUAGUGACUGGCGAAGGAAAUCACUCGCAACACAGAUAAAAAACGAUUAGAGUCAAUAAGAGAUUUGUCACUUCUAUGUAUUUUAAUGUGCAAUUUAAUGCUAGUGCAAUUUGUACAAACUGCAACACAGUAAUAAAACAGGGAAACGUUAAUAUCGCCAUU